CCUACGGGGGGCAGCAGUAGGGAAUAUUGCUCAAUGGGGGAAACCCUGAUGCAGCAACGCCGCGUGGGGGAUGAAGCUUUUCGGCGCGUAAAGCCCUAUCGGCAGGGAAGAUAAUGACGGUAUCUAACGAAUAAGCACCGGCUAACUCCGUGCCAGCAGCCGCGGUAAUACGGAGGGUGCAAGCGUUACUCGGAAUCACUGGGCGUAAAGAGCGCGUAGGCGGGAUAGCAAGUCAGAUGUGAAAUCCUAUGGCUUAACCAUAGAACUGCAUUUGAAACUGUUAUUCUAGAGUAUGGGAGAGGUAGGUGGAAUUCUUGGUGUAGGGGUAAAAUCCGUAGAGAUCAAGAGGAAUACUCAUUGCGAAGGCGACCUGCUAGAACAUAACUGACGCUGAUGCGCGAAAGCGUGGGGAGCAAACAGGAUUAGAUACCCUAGUAGUC
rnacentral:rRNA from 1 species